rnacentral:rRNA from 1 species
AUGGCGCUGAAUACUAGGAAUGCAAUCGUUGCCCUUCUCCUCCUCGUCGUGAUGGUCUCAACACCAGCGGUAACUGCCCAAGAGGACUGCUGGGACAAAUGUUUCAAGGACUGCAAGGCAAAAAUGGCAAUGGAAGUUUGCAACCAAAAGUGCAUUGACUUUUGCAAGUAUCAAGCUGGAGCCGGAGAAUAUGUUAAGAUGGCUGGCGAUAAACUCAAGGAGACCAAAACUGCCUCUCCGGAACAGGCCACUAAACUCAAGAAUGAAGCUAGCACCUACUUAGAACGUGCCAAAGUCCUCAGUGAUAAAGCCGUGACCCCGUGA